rnacentral:lncRNA from 1 species
AAGAAAUGCAACUCACAGGGUCUUCAGAAAAUCAGGACACCUUUCAAGGCAGCCAGUCUAACCUUUGGCAGAACUGUUACAUUAAUCUUCCUUAAAGAGAAUGUUGUGGGUGCCACAACAGGCCUGUUGGAACCUCUCCAGAAACUGUGGCAUAUGUAUUAAACUAAGCUUGAGCAAGGAACUAUCACAGUGCCUGGCACAUAAUAGAUAGUUAAUAAAUGCUUACUGAAUU